GCGGUGGAGCAUGUGGUUUAAUUCGAAGCAACGCGCAGAACCUUACCAGCCUUUGACAUGGCAGGACGAUUUUCAGAGAUGGAUCUCUUCCAGCAAUGGACCUGCACACAGGUGCCGCAUGGCUGUCGUCAGCUCGUGUCGUGAGAUGUGGGUUAAGUCCCGCAACGAGCGCAACCCUCGCCUUUAGUUGCCAUCAUUCAGUUGGGCACUCUAAAGGGACUGCCGGUGAUAAGCCGCGAGGAAGGUGGGGAUGACGUCAAGUCCUCAUGGCCCUUACGGGCUGGGCUACACACGUGCUACAAUGGCGGUGACAGUGGGAUGCAAAGGGGCGACCCCUCGCAAAUCUCAAAAAGCCGUCUCAGUUCGGAUUGUACUCUGCAACUCGAGUGCAUGAAGUUGGAAUCGCUAGUAAUCGUGGAUCAGCAUGCCACGGUGAAUACGUUCCCGGGCCUU
rnacentral:rRNA from 1 species